rnacentral:rRNA from 1 species
CCUACGGGUGGCAGCAGUGGGGAAUAUUGGUCAAUGGGCGGAACCCUGAUCCAGCGACGCCGCGUGAGUGAAGAAGUAUCUCGGUAUGUUAAGCUCUAUCAGCCGGGAAGAAAAUGACGGUACCUGACUAAGAAGCCACGGCUAACUACGUGCCAGCAGCCGCGGUAACACGUCGGGGGCAAGCGUUAUACGGAUUUACGGGGUGUACAGGGAGCGUAGACGGUGCAGCAAGUCUGAUGUGAAAGGUCGGGGCCCAACCCCAGGACUGCAUUGGAAACCGUUGAACGGGAGUACAGGAGAGGUAAGCGGAAUUCUUGGUGUAGCGGUGAAGUGCGGAGAUAGUAGGAGGAACACCAGUGGCGAAGGCGGCUUACUGGACUGUAACUGACGUUGAGGCUCGAAAGCGUGGGGAGCAAACAGGAUUAGAUACCCCAGUAGGC